rnacentral:lncRNA from 1 species
UUUAAAUUACAACAAUUAAUCCACUUCAGAUAAUGUUUUAAGACAACAUAAAUACUUACAGCAUGAAUACUUACAUUUUAAUCACGAUACAGCAGUAGGACAUCUUAAUUAUAACUAUGACAUCUUCUAAUUGCAGCUUAAGACCUUAAUAUUUAAUCAAUUCCAGCAGCAGGUUAUCCUAAUUUCAUUACAAAAGGUCAUAUUC